GUAGAGCUGAAUCCAUUGAAAAGACUGCUCUUCUCAGCUACUCUGUAGCACCUUUUGGCUGAAAGUUACCUUCCCUCCUUUCAGCCUUCAGGCAAAGGAGACUUCUCUGAAGUAAUACAUAAGAUCCAAGAGAUUAAAAACAGGAUGUUGAAAUGCCUGAUGUGGAACAUCUGAAGUAAAGGAAGUCAUGAUAUUUACUGUUUUCAGUAACAUCAAGAGCUCUGUGAAGAACAUAACUGCCCUAACCACAACACAUAUAGGACCAAAUUUCUUAAACUUGU